rnacentral:tRNA from 1 species
GGCUCGUUGGUCUAGGGGAAUGAUUCUCGCUUUAGGUGCGAGAAGUCCUGGGUUCAACUCCCAGACAAACCC